rnacentral:sRNA from 1 species
ACCUCUCUGCACGACAUUUUGUACCCCUA